rnacentral:rRNA from 1 species
AUGCGCCUGCGUGCAAUAGUGGGCAACCAGACCAUGCUGUUGCUGGUGGAUUCAGGCAGCACACAUAGCUUCGUCAAUUCAUCCUUCGCUGCCAGAAUUCAAGCCAAGCAUACUAGCAUUCCUGCUAUUGCUGUUCACGUGGCCAACGGUCAGCGCUUACACUGCACGUCCAUGGUUCCAAACCUCACUUGGAGCACACAAGGUCAUGAGUUCAGCACAAACAUGAGAGUGCUCGAUUUGGGUGUCUAUGAUGCAGUACUGGGAGUGGACUGGUUAGCUGUACACAGCCCCAUGCAGUGUGACUGGAGUCUGAAGACCAUGAACUACCAGAGGCACGGGUGCACCAUUCAGCUGACAGGCGUUCGGACAGAAGAAACAGCAGCAGUAUCGGUCAUGGACGCAGCCACAUUAUGGCAGAUGCAGGAAGCCAAUGAAAUUUGGGGGGCGGCCCUGCUUGAAAUUCAGACGACACCAACUACAGGUUCAGAGUCGGAGGGGCCACUUCCUGCAAUCAUUCAGAAAGUGCUCACAGAUUUCAGUGAUGUCUUUGAAGAACCAACAGGACUUCCCCCGCAUCAUCAGUAUGAUCAUGCAAUCAAUCUGGAACCCGGUGCAGCUCCAGUGAAUUGCAGGCCAUAUCGCUAUUCUCCACUCCAGAAAGAUGAGAUCGAGCGUCAAGUCACCGAGAUGCUACGCACGGGGGUGAUUACGCAUAGCAUGAGCCCAUUUGCUGCCCCCGUUCUCCUGGUAAAGAAAAAAGAUGGAACGUGGCGAUUCUGUGUCGAUUACCGCCGCUUGAACACCGUCACCAUCAAGAACAAGUUUCCCCUUCCGGUCAUCGACGAACUGCUGGAUGAAUUAGCCGGUGCAGCAGUCUUCUCCAAGAUCGAUUUGCGCGCUGGCUACCAUCAAAUUCGGAUGCGCGAAAGUGAUGAGGAGAAGAUAACAUUCAAGACCCAUCACGGACAUUUUCAAUUCCGUGUCAUGCCGUUCGGCAUCACCAAUGGACCACCAACAUUCCAGUGCCUGAUAAAUUAUGUCCUCUCCGGCCCAAACCGUAAGUUUGUCAUCACGUUUUUGGAUGACAUUUUGGUGUUCAGCCAUACCUUGCAGGAGCAUGUGGAGCAUCUGCGCACUGUCUUUGCUCUUCUUCGUUAG